GUUUUUUAUUAUUUAUAAUUAAAAUUUCAGACAGAAAAUUUAAAAGCGUAGAUUAAAUUAAAAACUCUGGGAGGCCGGUUCAAUCUUUUUAAUAAAAAAGAUAUCACCAAAUCCCAAGGCAGAUUUAACCACCAGGGAAAAAACCAUCCCAAAGUAUACUUUUCAAUAGGUGCACACAAGGUGAAUAUGGAUACAAAAAAUCCAUAUGGGAUUAAUUGUUAAUGAUCCUUCCGCAGGUUCACCUACGGAAA
rnacentral:misc_RNA from 1 species